rnacentral:rRNA from 1 species
GUGGAAAGGGUUAUGUACUGGUCUUAGAUGGGCUCACGGCCUAUCAGCUGGUUGGUGGGGUAAUGGCCUACCAAGGCGACGACGGGUAGCCGGCCUGAGAGGGUGACCGGCCACACUGGGACUGAGCACACGGCCCAAAACUCCUACGGGAGGCAGCAGUGGGGAAUAUUGCACAAUGGGCGCAAGCCUGAUGCAAGAGACGCCGCGUGAGGGAUGACGGACUUCGGGUUGUAAACCUCUUUCAGCAGGGCAAGAAGCGGAAGUGACGGUACCUGCAGACAAAAACGCCGGCUAACUACGUGCCAGCAGCCGCGGUAAUACGUAAGGCGCAAGCGUUGUCCGGAAUUAUUGGGCGUAAAGAGCUCGUAGUCGGCUUGUCACGUCUGCUGUGCAAAGCCCGGGGCUUAACUCCGGGUGUGCAGUGGGUACGGGCAGGCUAGAGUGCAGUAGGGUUAACUGGAAUUCCUGGUGUAUCGGUGAAAUGCGCAGAUAUCAGGAGUAACACCGAUGGCGAAGGCAGUUUACUGGGCUGUUACUGACGCUGAGGAGCGAAAGCAUGGGGAGCGAACAGGAUUAGAUACCCUGGUAGUCCAUGCCGUAAACGUUGGGCACUAGGUGUGGGGGACAUUCCACGUUUUCCGCGCCGUAGCUAACGCAUUAAGUGCCCC